rnacentral:rRNA from 1 species
UUAAAUUGAAGAGUUUGAUCAUGGCUCAGAUUGAACGCUGGCGGCAGGCCUAACACAUGCAAGUCGAACGGUAACAGGAAGAAGCUUGCUUCUUUGCUGACGAGUGGCGGACGGGUGAGUAAUGUCUGGGAAACUGCCUGAUGGAGGGGGAUAACUACUGGAAACGGUAGCUAAUACCGCAUAACGUCGCAAGACCAAAGAGGGGGACCUUCGGGCCUCUUGCCAUCGGAUGUGCCCAGAUGGGAUUAGCUUGUUGGUGGGGUAACGGCUCACCAAGGCGACGAUCCCUAGCUGGUCUGAGAGGAUGACCAGCCACACUGGAACUGAGACACGGUCCAGACUCCUACGGGAGGCAGCAGUGGGGAAUAUUGCACAAUGGGCGCAAGCCUGAUGCAGCCAUGCCGCGUGUAUGAAGAAGGCCUUCGGGUUGUAAAGUACUUUCAGCGGGGAGGAAGGGAGUAAAGUUAAUACCUUUACUCAUUGACGUUACCCGCAGAAGAAGCACCGGCUAACUCCGUGCCAGCAGCCGCGGUAAUACGGAGGGUGCAAGCGUUAAUCGGAAUUACUGGGCGUAAAGCGCACGCAGGCGGUUUGUUAAGUCAGAUGUGAAAUCCCCGGGCUCAACCUGGGAACUGCAUCUGAUACUGGCAAGCUUGAGUCUCGUAGAGGGGGGUAGAAUUCCAGGUGUAGCGGUGAAAUGCGUAGAGAUCUGGAGGAAUACCGGUGGCGAAGGCGGCCCCCUGGACGAAGACUGACGCUCAGGUGCGAAAGCGUGGGGAGCAAACAGGAUUAGAUACCCUGGUAGUCCACGCCGUAAACGAUGUCGACUUGGAGGUUGUGCCCUUGAGGCGUAGCUUCCGGAGCUAACGCGUUAAGUCGACCGCCUGGGGAGUACGGCCGCAAGGUUAAAACUCAAAUGAAUUGACGGGGGCCCGCACAAGCGGUGGAGCAUGUGGUUUAAUUCGAUGCAACGCGAAGAACCUUACCUGGUCUUGACAUCCACAGAACUUUCCAGAGAUGGAUUGGUGCCUUCGGGAACUGUGAGACAGGUGCUGCAUGGCUGUCGUCAGCUCGUGUUGUGAAAUGUUGGGUUAAGUCCCGCAACGAGCGCAACCCUUAUCCUUUGUUGCCAGCGGUCCGGCCGGGAACUCAAAGGAGACUGCCAGUGAUAAACUGGAGGAAGGUGGGGAUGACGUCAAGUCAUCAUGGCCCUUACGACCAGGGCUACACACGUGCUACAAUGGCGCAUACAAAGAGAAGCGACCUCGCGAGAGCAAGCGGACCUCAUAAAGUGCGUCGUAGUCCGGAUUGGAGUCUGCAACUCGACUCCAUGAAGUCGGAAUCGCUAGUAAUCGUGGAUCAGAAUGCCACGGUGAAUACGUUCCCGGGCCUUGUACACACCGCCCGUCACACCAUGGGAGUGGGUUGCAAAAGAAGUAGGUAGCUUAACCUUCGGGAGGGCGCUUACCACUUUGUGAUUCAUGACUGGGGUGAAGUCGUAACAAGGUAACCGUAGGGGAACCUGCGGUUGGAUCACCUCCUUACCUUAAAGAAGC